rnacentral:lncRNA from 1 species
AGCAGAAGGCCGAGGGGGGUAAUACGUUGCACAUAGUGGUAAGGAAGCCAUUCGCAUGGUAUGCCUGUAUGACAAUAUGGACAAGCGGCAUGGACAUAGAUGUGCACAUGUGAUUAUGGGGAUGGGGUGUUCGUGUACUAUACGAUUUUUUCGUCAUGAACAGCGGCUUGCCUGAGCUCGCUUACAGGACAUUCCUAUGCAUACGUAGGAUAGAUAGCUUAAGUCCACACACACAUAUAUAUGCGCCAUCACAGCCAAUCAAUGGUCUCAUGGGCCCACUGCACUGAGGCGGGGGGAUUUUGUUCGAUAGACAGGUCGGUCCGGAGCCAUCUAAGUCCGCCUCGCUUCGGCAGCAUCUCACCAAACUGCUGAUUCAUGAAAGAGAUGCACUGCUCGGUUGCGGGCUUGGGGAAGUUUUGGUAGUCUAAGUAACGGAAGAACUCCAGCCUGCAAUCGGGAGGAAAACAAGUCUGUCGGUGCGCUUUCGAGUACUUAGGGUUUCGAGUACUGGAAAUUGUUAAUCAUUACAGACGUAAUUAUGAAAACGGCUUGUUAGGAGUUUCAUUAAUUACGCCGAAUCAUAAUCCCCAGACCCCUAUUCAGGUUCAGGCCCAAUUGGCUCCGAUUCAAAGUCCUAUUCGCAUGAAUCAACCCUGAUUCGUCAUCAUGUGAACAAUUUUUUACGAUGUUUGUUGCUGACGCACGCACGCACAUGCGGCUGCGGCCAACAGGCAGGAACGAGUCGACGCACGUUUAUAUAUUCGUUGUCGGAAAGCAAAGGUAACAUUAACAGCCUCGAACGCAGACGAACCUUGACUUGCAGACACCGUUCGCGAAAUCAUGCUCGGACUUCUUGUCUCGGGGCCGCGCGUGUACGUCCAACACCGCCAGUACAGCCGCAUCCAGCUCGAAGCCACCGUAUAGGUUGUUGGCGGGGCGCAGCAGCGCGCCGUUGGCGGGGCGGUCUCCGAAGCACUCGCAGUGUGUCGCCCUGCAGGCUGCACGUAGAUGGGUUGGUGGCAAUCGACACGUUGUCAAGUCGGGCGGGCGGGCGCUGUCGCCGUGACAAAGCGGCGGGUUGCGGCAACUAACCGGCAUCUAGUUAUUGGAACCCCCCGUGGCUCGUUCGUGACGGCAAAUGCUGCCGCUGAAAGGAACCAUCAUUCAACAUCAAGACUCUUAAGGCCCCUUAUCCUGGACAGCUGACAGCUCUAUACAUCUACUAGAGACAUGCACGCCAAGCUACGAAGAUGUAUGCAAAGCUGCACUGGCUGGUGCACAGUGAUGAUCUACCGG